GAUGAACGCUGGCGGCGUGCCUAAUACAUGCAAGUCGAGCGAACAGACGAGGAGCUUGCUCCUCUGACGUUAGCGGCGGACGGGUGAGUAACACGUGGAUAACCUACCUAUAAGACUGGGAUAACUUCGGGAAACCGGAGCUAAUACCGGAUAAUAUAUUGAACCGCAUGGUUCAAUAGUGAAAGACGGUUUUGCUGUCACUUAUAGAUGGAUCCGCGCCGCAUUAGCUAGUUGGUAAGGUAACGGCUUACCAAGGCAAUGAUGCGUAGCCGACCUGAGAGGGUGAUCGGCCACACUGGAACUGAGACACGGUCCAGACUCCUACGGGAGGCAGCAGUAGGGAAUCUUCCGCAAUGGGCGAAAGCCUGACGGAGCAAAGCCGCGUGAGUGAUGAAGGUCUUCGGAUCGUAAAACUCUGUUAUUAGGGAAGAACAAAUGUGUAAGUAACUAUGCACGUCUUGACGGUACCUAAUCAGAAAGCCACGGCUAACUACGUG
rnacentral:rRNA from 1 species